UGGCUUCCUCAUGCCUGAUACUAAUUUUUAAAGAGUUAUUUUCAUCUUUGAGACAACGUAUCUCUUUUUUCUAAUCUGUUACCUUUUUUCCCCCUUCAUAAUCUUCUUGUUUUUCUUGGAUUUUUGUUUUUGUUUUUCCUCAAUGUCUCUCAUUUGAUUUUUAAAUUCUUUUUUGAGUUCUUCUCUGGGCAGAGAGCCAUAUCACAUUACUCUUUGAGGCAGAAGCUUUUUUUUUUUUUUUUUUUUUUUAACUUUAGUACCAUCUUCUGAAGAUGAACUCCUGUUCCCAUAGUGGGUUUCUAUGGUUGGGUUCUUUCUUCUUUGCCAGUUUACUUUUUUUUUUUUUUUUUAACUAAGAGGUGUUGGGAUAAGCACUUCUGAUCGAGGGGUGGGGGGAUGGUAUCUCUAGCUUCACUUCAGGACUCUCCUCAGAACAGAACCCCAGACCAGAAGCUCCAACGUCCAGCAAGCGCCAGCAGUCAGCAGCAUCCUUUCUCCCACCCCCCACUCCCAUCUCUGCAUCCAGUGUGCUGGUUCAUUCUCACCCAGGGCUGAUUCUCUGCAGUACUGUGGUUCUCUCUAUGGCUCCAGCCAGACCAGCUAACUCCCACUUGAGCUCUACAGGGCUCCCCAUUUGGUGUUUGUACAGAGCUAGCCUGGAGGUAUUUGCAUUUCACACAGGUUAAUGGGUGGGGGUGGGAGGAAGUCUUGGUUUGUACCUGGAGGAUCUCUAUUCUGCCCCAAAUCUUCUUGAUUUUUCACCAAUCUGAGAUGCAAAUUUAUUCUGUUUAGGGGGCAAAUCUGGAGAUCUUGAAAUUUAGCAACUACUCCGCCAUCUUCUUAAAAUCUUCCUCCAGCCCACUAGAUUAUGACAUUUCACCAGUUUUUCCGCAUUGGCUUGACUCUCCUCAUCUUUUCUUUGAUCUAAACACAAAGCCUUGGAGUCAGGGGUCCAGUGCUCCCUGCUGUGUGCUCCCUGAGCUUUCUCAGACCCAUCAUUUUCAGCCUCUGAGUUCAAAGGUCUUGAGCUUCACAGAUGGAGGAGUCGGACUCUGAGGUCCCCUGCCCAGUAGUCUCUGCUUUGGAGAACUUUGCCACAGCAUUGCCCCCCUCUUUCCCCACUCUCAAAUACAUCCCACUGAUAGUUAACCAUCUCCGACUGUGAAUUCUCUCUCUAUCCCUGUAUCAAAGACUAUCGUUCAUUUAGGAUUUAGGAUUGUUUCCCCAUCUUAGAAUUCUCAGCAUUUAGCAUCAAGAGAGCACAUAGUUGGUAUUUAAUCAAUGCAUGAUAACUGGUUGAACUCUAACCUCCUUUUCAGUUCUAGACUCCAUUGGAUACACCUGAAAUUAAAGCCCCCUAUGCAGACUCCUGAGUCAACACUCACAGGUCACUGGCACUAAAGUCCCAGCAGAAGUCUUAGAUUUUCUUGGAAUGGGACCGACAGAAACGUGGCCAGAGACAGACAUCAUCCCCCACCCUUGAGCCUCAGUCUCGGCUCCACCUGGAACCCUCAGAUCGCCCUCUUCCAGCUCGACGCCGUCCUCGGGCCUUAUUCAGCUCUACAGUAGCCAUAAUUCACCUUCUCCUUUCCACCCCCACUCCAAGCACACACACAGUACCCAUGUCCCACUUCCUGCCGCACCCUGCAUCCUGCCUGUACUCCGUUGGUGGGGUUGGGGAGGGGUUAGAUCCUGCUUCCUCAGGCUGUGAGGAAAACCUCCAGGACACCUCAUCACCAUCUGCUGCCAUGUUAGACUUUGGAUGAUUUUCUAGGAUUCUCUAAGUAUAUCAUCAUAUCAUCUACGAAAAGGGGGACUGUUUGUCUAGUUUGUUUUCCAGGCACCAGAACCAUGGCCAUUACCUAGGAAAUUGUGUCAAUGAUGCCUUUCUCUGCCUCCUUAGAUGCCAGUCGUGCAAUCUGGAACUCUGAUUCCACUGAAAGGACAUCCUGGGAUCUCCAUUCCCUAGCAGGAGCGGGCCAGAUGUGGCAGCUGAGGACGUUUAUUCCCGUCACCAUAAAGAAAUAUGAAGUUUCUUUAUUUAAAGGCCCACAAAACAAAGUUUUUGUUUUUACUAUAGUCUGGUCCUCCAACAGUCCGAGGGACAGUGAACUGGCCCCCUAUUUUAAAAGUUUGAAGACCCCUGAAGUCAGACUCAAAGAAUAAGGAGAGGGCACUAAGCUGCACGUACAUGGCAAAGGAAUAAGCAUUUAUGAAGCACCUACUAUGUGCCAAGCCCUCUGCACAGCACUCUCCACAUAUGAUCUGAUUUCCUCCUUGCAACAGCCCUGGGAGGUAGGGACUAUUAUUAUCCCCAUUUUACGGUUAAGGGAAUUGAGGCAAAUUCAGUGACUUACCCAGGGUCACACAGCUAGCAAGAAUCUAAGACCAAAUUUGAACUCAGGGCUGCCUAAUGGUCAUUGAUUCUGGACACAUCUCGGUACCUGUCAAAGGCCCUCGCUCUGGUCUUGGUGGACACAGGCCUCUGGAAAUCAAGACCCGGCAGGUCUUAUCCCGCUGUGGGGGCCAAUCCUGCUGGCUGUUGCACUUUGUCUCUUUUUGAGCUGGAGCCUGUUUGGGGCCCUGGGUGGAAGAGAGACUUUCAGGGACCUUGACAAAUGGGCCCCAUCAGGAGACUCAGGCAAGACAGGCUGAGGAGGCCAAGAAAGAGUUUUCUCCACCAAAACUUGACCGAGGGGCCUGGACCCCGAGAUUUCUUAGGGUGAAUUUCCCAUCCCUCUGCUUUGAGCCUUGGUCAGCAUGGCUGCAUCUGGUGUGGUCAAUGUGAUAUCACAGUGACAGCAGGAAAGGACCUAUGGUAGCAUGACAAGCCUGAGGACAGAUGAGGAAGGCUCCUUCCCAGCCGCAGGAAGUCAAGAUCUUUAGCAAAGAGGCAAGCCCACAGUAUUGACAGGGCCACAAACAAUGAUAGACAUGGUGAGUCCCGGCUGCCCUCCUCCCAGCUUUGUCCAUCUCCAUUUCUAGAAAAGAAAUUCCUCUCCCAAGUUGAGCAUGGUGAUCAUGGCAUGGAAUGGUUUGGAUAACUCUAAGAAGGAACCAGGGAGAAGGAGAGGCUAUGAACGGAUGCUACAGGAAGCGAGCAGAACCAAGAGAACAUUACACUAACAACAAGAUUUGUGAUGAUCAACUCUGAUGGACUUGGCUCUUUUCAACCAUGAGGUGAUUCAGGGCAAUUCCAAUAGCCUUGUAAUGGAGAGAGCCAUCCACAUUCAGAGAGAGGACUAUGGGAACUGAAUAUGGAUCACAACAUAGUAUUUUCACCUUUUUGUUGUUGUUUGCUUGCUUGUUUUUUCCUCAUUUUUUCCUUUUUUUCUUGCACAGCAUGAUAAAUGUGGAAAUAUAUUUAAAAGAAUUGCACAUGGUUAACCUAUAUUGAAUUACUUGCUGUGUAGGUGAGGGAGGAGGAGGGGAGGAAGGGAGAAAAAUUUGGAACAUAAGCUUUUGAAAGGGUGAAUAUUGAAAACUUCCUUUGCCUGUAUUUUGAAAAAUAAAAAGCUAUUAUUAAAAAAGAAGAAAAAGAAUGAAGGAUGAGCAACCACAGUAGCAAUCCUGUGCCAGAUACAGACUGGAUAAUCAUGCUGGAAAAAAAGUUUGUGGUGAAAGUCCCAGCAUUCAAACCUUCAAAGUAAGGGAAGGAAGGAAAUAGAUUUAACAGAUUACAGUGCAUUAAACAUAAAUUUUCACACAAGGUGGUGGUACUUCAGAAAUUGGUAGAUAUUCAUUAAGAAAAGCUAUGAAAGCCUUUUUUAAUGUUGAAGUGAUUUUUAAAUGUUGAAGAAUUUAUCUAGUGUGCUGAUUAAAAAAAUAGCCCAAAGAACUAGUUUUAAAUUCACAUUAAAGUAUUUUAAAUUGAACCAAUUUGUUAAUUGAAUCUCAGCAAUUGUAGGCUCAGCAUCACUUUUCUAAAUUGUGUAGGUAAGAAACUUUGUCAAGAUUUUUUGAAGCAGUCAGGGUUAAAAGAUUUAUCCAGAGUCACACAGCUAGUCAUGUAAAAUAUUUUUUAAACCAGUUAAUUUUGUAAAAAUUAAAAUGUCCACCUGGUCCUGUUUUUCAGUAGGUAUUGAAUAGCUCUCUGAAUUUCAACUGUAUCACAUGCCCAGCUACAACUGAUAAUGAGACAUGAUUAUCUGAAUUGUCAUGAAACCAAGAGUCCACCAUUCAAGGGGAAUGCCAGUACUUCCCAAAGAGAGCACAAUCUGAAAACUGCUACAGGAUUUUGUUUUUGCCUGGGACAAUUGUUGGGCCAACUUCCUUAUGUAGGAUCUUUUUGAUUCAGUUUAACAGGAACAUUUUUCCACUUGAUUCUGAGCUUCACAAGGAAACUUUAUAAGUAAUGUGGAGCUUGCUCUGUCAGAAAUGACUCACUUUGAAUCAAACAAAGUUAAGAGAGUUUUUCCCACAUUAUGGCAGGUACCCUCUAGGAAACGGAUAUAAUUAUGUCCUUCCUUUUCUUUUCAUAGCAAAUUUCUAUAAUUGGGGCAGGUGAACUUUGAAAGUCUGAUUGAAUCUGGUUGACAUAUUACUUAACAAACUUACAAUAUAAAUUGGCAUAAGAAUUAUUAAAAAGAGGUACAUAUCAACAGAAUAAUUAGAAAACAGUGAGUUUGCAUGUAGUUUAUUGAUGUUAUUUACAAAGUUUUAUAGUGUAUACAAAUCAGUGAUCAAAAGAAAUGCUUUAACAUUAAGUCCCUGGAGUAGUUCAUUCUUUUAGAGUGAUCUAAAAUGACAUCUUAGUAAGGGGGAAGUAGAAAAAAUAUAGAAAUAGGAGGUUUUUUUAAAAAUAAAAAUACACAUUUUUCUUAAUUAAAAGUUUUCAUUGUCUGAUUAGACUAUUUUAAUAAGAACUAAUCCAAAUAUGAAUAGGACUUGAAUAUGACAGCAAUAAAUUUUCAAAAUUAGAUAAAGGGUUUUACACAUGCAAAACCCUGUGAAUAAUGUUCUCAUAUAUUUUUGGCGGGGGGAAGGAUUGUACUUGGGGAAAAAAAGGACAGAAUGGGGUAAAUUAUACCAUGUGAAGGGGCACAAAAGACCUAUUAAAAGAGGGGGAAAAGGAGAGAGUAAGUAUUGUUACCUUACUUUCAUUGGAUUUGGCUCAAAAACGGAAUAACAUGCACACUCAGCUGGGUAGAGAAAUUUAUUUUACCUUAUGGAGAAGUAGGAAAGGAAAGCGGAAAGAAAAGGGGUGCUGAUAGAAGGAAGAAAGGACAGAUUGAGAAAGGUGGUGGUCAAAAGCAAAAUACUGGUGAGGAGAGAAAGGGUGAAAGAAGAGAAAGAAAAGUGUAAAAUAUAUUUUCUGCUUCACCCCACCCUAACUCUAACCCUAACCUGAACCUGUUUACCACAACAAACGAGAUCCCCAGGUGAGGUCAAAAACACACCCACAUGACUACUUGCAUUUUUGUUUUUCUUCUCGGGUUAUUUUUACCUUCUGAAUUCAAUUCUUCCUGUGCAACAAGAAAACUGUUCAGUUCUGCAAACAUAUAUUGUAGCUAGGAUAUACUGUAACUUAUUUAACAUGUAUAAAACUGCCUGCCAUCUAGGGGAGGGGAUGGAGGGGGGGAGGGGAAAAAUCGGAACAGAAGUGAAUGCAAGGAACAAUGCUGUAAAAAAUUACCCUGGCAUGGGUUCUAUCAGUAAAAAGUUAUUAAAAAAAAAAAAAGGAACAAUGUUGUAAAAAAUUACCCUGGCAUAUGUUCUGUCAAUAAAAAGUUAUAAUUUAAAAAAUA